rnacentral:rRNA from 1 species
GCCUACAAUGGGAUCAACCUUAAAAUGCCUGAUCUGAUCAGAUCUUGAAAACGAAGCAUAGUUGAAUCUGGUUAGUAAUUGCAUUGGCCGACUGCCUGGGAAUACCACGUGUUGUAGGCU